CCCCAACCCUAUAACAAACUACGCCAAGUGUACGGAGCAGAGCUUAGGGCGAAGCUUCACAUCAGAUAAGGUGCCCAAGCCCAGACACAAAUGAAGUCGCUGGCAGUGGAGGAGGACACUUGCGGUUUCCGUGGCUGUCAGCACCUGCUCCCUCCAAGGAGCCCUCUCAUCCCUUCCAGUUCUAGCCACUGCCUCCCAGAACGAGACCAGACACAAGGAGGGCUGUGAACGGCCCAGAGCUCUGUGAUCGUCUGUCUGUCCUCCUCUCUGUGGACAGGGACUCUGAUGCCUCAACAACCGAUCCCAGGUGGACCUGGCAGGGACCCUCACUCAGGCAGUCUCUUUGGACUCCAGGGAAGAGCAAUGACUGCUUGGUUUUAAUCACAGCUGCUAUUUUUUCGGUGCCAACAAUGUACAGGGGCUCCGUGCAUCACUUGGAGACACAGCCCCGCAACUCCACCAGACAGGUGCAAUAAUGACAGCCACACCAUGGGCUGGGAAGCUCAGAAAGGCACCAUGCUGGUACCCCAGGUCACACAGCCAACAAGUGGGCUUGGAUCCCAGUACCACUCACUUUUCCCACUACGCUCUGCUACCACUGGUCCUCACUCAGCCCUCACCACGGUCAGCUCCUUUGUCUAGAAGAUCCCAGGUCUCCAGGGGGUCACUGCUGUCUUUGCAUGAGCCCCGCCCCACCCCAGCUGCUAUCAGAGCCAGAGAGGUGGAUGCCUAGACCCUCUCUCAGAGUCCCACACCUCCACCAGCCUGAGCUGUACAGACCACAGCUCUCAAUCAGGGACUGGGGUACCUGGCAGAUUUCACAGGACUGUCCUUUCCUCUGGUCAGUGUCGGGGGUCAAAAAGGGGUGUGGCUGGGGCUCCUCUAGACCCCACUCCUGUGACCAAGAAAAUCUCACCAGCUGCAUCCAAUGGCAACCUUGACCCUGUUACUCCGAUGUCUUUGUAGGAGUAUUUUUAGCCGAACCUUUUUCUUUUCCAAAAUAAAUGUGAAUUGUAAAAAUAAA